GGGCUCGUGGUGAAAUGGCAGACACGUCAGAUUUAGGAUCUGAUGCCGCAAGGCGUGUGGGUUCAAGUCCCUCCGGGCCCA
rnacentral:tRNA from 1 species